rnacentral:rRNA from 1 species
UACGUAGGGAGCAAGCGUUGUCCGGAAUCAUUGGGCGUAAAGAGCGCGUAGGCGGUCCGGUAAGUCGGUUGUGAAAACUGGGGGCUCAACCCUCAGAGGCCGACCGAUACUGCCGGGCUAGAGUCCGGAAGAGGCGAGUGGAAUUCCUGGUGUAGCGGUGAAAUGCGCAGAUAUCAGGAGGAACACCAAUGGCGAAGGCAGCUCGCUGGGACGGUACUGACGCUGAGGAACGAAAGCUAGGGGAGCAAACAGG